CGGGGCGUAGCUCAGUUUGGUCAGAGCGCAUGGUUUGGGACCAUGAGGCCGGCAGUUCGAGUCUGCCCGCCCCGA
rnacentral:tRNA from 1 species